AAUGGCGUUUAACAAAGAGAAGCAAGACCGCGAGGUGGAGCAAAACUCAAAAACAACGUCUCAGUUCAGAUUGCAGGCUGCAACUCGCCUGCAUGAAG
rnacentral:ncRNA from 1 species